UGUUGAUGUUAACGUGUUUGUUGGAUCCUCUUCUUUGUGUGGAUUACCAUUAAAAGGAUUUGUUAUAGCAAACAAAUAUAAGGUUAACAAAAACAGGUUAUAGCUAUGAACAGGUUUUUUACAGAGCCGUCUCAGGAAGAAGAGGCGUUGAUGUGCCUUCUUCAGCACUGCAUCAGUGUGUGUGUAAACCAGUUGCAGCUUGUUGAGCUCUCUAGACCACCAUAAAAUUGCCUCUCAGUGCAUCCCAGAAUAUGUCAAAUACAAGUACACUAGAACAUACACAUGGUCUUGAGCUGCCUUCCAAAACCCAUCCCUGCACCGAUCAUUAUAACUCCCUCCUGGAACCGGGCUGGAGAGUUGCCAUGGUAACAUCUAUCCAAUUAAGUGAGGUCAGCAACCAUUGUCUGUCUUUCCAGAGAGAGAGUGAUGAGGAGAGAGAGAGGCAGGGGUGUAACAAAUACAAAGCUAGAUGAUUUCUUUGUGAAUUUCCCACCUUGAAAUACUUGAAGACUGUGUUUUUUGAAAAUCGUCCGUAAACUGCUCAACCUUACAAGUCCUGAACCUCACAUUAGCAUUGCCACAGAGAUGCCAGACAGAAUUAGCUAUUGAUUAGGACAACAAAGUAAGAGAGAAAAGGAGAGAGAGAGAGAGAGAGAGAAAGUUGGCGCCAAAGAGGAGGAAAUGUUCCAGCACUGCGAUUUACUGCUGGGGAUCUCAACAGCCUACAAUCCCCACUGGAGCCAAUUUACACACACACACAGGACACACACACAGUGUCUGCAACAGUCAAUAAUGGAAAUUGGAUGCCCCUCUACAUCGCCAUGGUGACACCCCCACCUCCUCAUUAAAGCACCUUGAAAGUUUUAGGCCAAUCCAUGAUCCUGAUAGAUUUCCAAUGGAGUCGAGAUCCUCACGUAGCCAAGGUGGAAUUUUAGACAGGUUACCUGUGUUUCAGAAUUAAUGUCACAACAGAAUAAACCACAGGCC
ensembl:lncRNA